CCAAGUACUGCGGGACACGAGAAACCCCGUGGGAAUCAGGGGGGACCACCCCCCAAGGCUAAAUACUCUUAGCGACCGAUAGUGAACAAGUACCGUGAGGGAAAGGUGAAAAGCACCCCGGGAGGGGAGUGAAAUAGAACCUGAAACCGUGUGCCUACAAGCUGUCGAAGGGCGUUAAAAGCCUGACGGCGUACUUUUUGUAGAACGGACCGGCGAGUUACAUCUAACGUGCAGGUUAAGGCAGGAAAGCCGGAGCCGAAGCGAAAGCAAGUCUUAAUAGGGCGCAAUGUACGUUGGAGUAGACCCGAAACCUGGUGAUCUACCCAUGUCCAGAGUGAAGCUUUAGUAAAAUAAAGUGGAGGCUCGAACCGACCUUCGUUGAAAAGGAGGCGGAUGAGGUGUGGGUAGGGGUGAAAUGCCAAUCGAACCAGGAGAUAGCUGGUUCUCCCCGAAAUAGCUUUAGGGCUAGCCUCGGUGAGAGAUUAGCGGAGGUAGAGCACUGAAUGGGCUAGGGGCCUUCACGGGUUACCGAACCCAAUCAAACUCCGAAUGCCGCAUAAUUAUAACCGGGAGUCAGACUGCGGGUGCUAAGAUUCGUAGUCAAAAGGGAAACAGCCCAGACCAACAGCUAAGGUCCCAAAGACAGGCUAAGUGGAAAAGGAUGUGGGGUUGCACAGACAACCAGGAUGUUGGCUUAGAAGCAGCCACCAUUUAAAGAGUGCGUAAUAGCUCACUGGUCAAGUGGCCCUGCGCCGAAAAUGAAACGGGGCUAAGCCUGGCACCGAAGCUUUGGAAUGAUGAAUGUCAUUGGUAGGGGAGCGUUCUUAACGAGUAGAAGCGGUACCGUGAGGAGCCGUGGAUUGUUAAGAAGUGAGAAUGCCGGUAUGAGUAAGCGAAAAGGCAGGUGAGAAUCCUGCCCG
rnacentral:rRNA from 1 species